UCUCUCCUGAAUCUGGCGGAUACGACUCCCAGCAUGACAUACCAAAACAACUCAUAAAACAGCAUAAAAUAUGUUUUUUGUUUUGGUUGAUAGGAUCCCGGACAGAUCAUUGUUGUGGACUGUCUGAGUUUUUAAAGAAAAGUGUCGGAGGGCGAAGGAUUGUGGCAACAAAAAAAUACGCACUGCUUUACGGUACCUGGUCCCCGACAACGACCAACCAAGCGGCGGCGGACGUGGUACGGAGGACGCU